rnacentral:rRNA from 1 species
GUAAACGCUGGGUAGCCAAGUGCGGAGAGGAUAACCGCUGAAAGCAUCUAAGUGGGAAGCCCACCUCAAGAUGAGUACUCUCACUACAAUUUGUAGGUAAGGUCACGGGCAGAACACCCGUUAAUAGGCUCUAAGUGGAAGUGCAGUAAUGUAUGAAGCUGAGGGGUACUAAUAGACCGAGGGCUUGACCUCU